AUGGAGCGAGAAACCCCCGAACCGCCGCCGCCGCGGAGCCCCCCCCGGCCCUGGAGCGGGGCCCCGCCGCCUGCGCCACUGAGAGACCCCGCCCCGCGCUCCCCCCUCCGCGCGGGAGAGGGAGGGUCGCAGGAGGGCUAUCGAGGGGUCACUCUGGUGCUGAACAGCAUGCAGUCCUUUCGGGAGCAAAGCAGUUACCACGGAAACCAGCAGAGCUACCCACAGGAAGUGCACGGGGCAUCCCGUCUAGAAGAAUUUAGCCCCCGUCAGCAGACCCAGAUGUUCCAGAGCUUUGGAGGAGGUGCUGGCAGUGGGCGCAGGGGAGCAACAGGAGCAUCUGCAGCAAUGGCUGGUGAGAGCUCUGGGCACCAGAGCUACCAAGGUUUUAGAAAAGAAGCAGGAGAGUUUUACUACAUGGCCUCCAACAAGGAUACAGUGGCAGCAGGUGGGCAGCAGCCACCUCAGCGCAGGCCGUCUGGACCAGUGCAGAGCUAUGGGCCACCCCAAGGAAGCAACUUUGGGAGCCAGUACGGGAGCGAGGGACAUGUGGGCCAGUUCCAAACACAGCAUUCAGCCCUUGGAGGUGUAUCUCACUAUCAGCAGGAUUAUACUGGUCCCUUCUCUCCAGGGAGUGCCCAGUAUCAGCAGCAGGCUUCCAGCCAGCAGCAGCAGGUGCAACAGCUGAGACAGCAGCUCUAUCAAUCCCAUCAGCCUUUACCACAGGCAUCCAGCCAGCCUGCGUCUAGCACCUCCCACUUGCAGCCAAUGCAGCGUCCAUCUGCCCUGCCUUCCUCUGCUUCUGGGUACCAGUUACGAGUGGGUCAAUUCAGCCAACACUAUCAACCCCCUGCUUCUUCCUCUUCCUCUUUCCCCUCCCCACAGCGUUUUGGGCAGUCUGGGCAGAACUAUGAUGGCAGUUACAGUGUGAAUUCUGGUUCACAGUAUGAAAGCCAUGCUGUAGGUUCUAAUUCACAGGGAUAUGGGACUCAAUCUAAUUACAACUUUCAGACUCAGCCAAUAAAAAGUUUUGACCAGUCUAAGAUGCCCCAGGGUGGGCAGCAGGGGCAGCAGCAACAGCACCCCUCACAGCAUGUAAUGCAGUACUCAAAUGCUGCCACCAAGCUAUCUCUUCAAAGUCAAGUGGGACAGUACAGCCAAGCUGAAGUCCCUGUGAGAUCACCCAUGCAGUUCCAUCAGAACUUCAGUCCUAUAUCCAACCCAUCUCCAGCUGCCUCAGUGGUCCAGUCUCCAAGCUGCAGCUCUACCCCAUCACCCCUCAUGCCAAGUGGGGAAAACCUCCAGUGUGGGCAAGGCAAUAUGUCGAUAGGCUCUAGAAAUCGAAUUUUACAGAUGAUGCCUCAGCUUAGCCCGACACCAUCCAUGAUGCCGAGCCCCAAUGCUCAUGGUGGAGGAUUCAAGGGAUUUGGGCUGGAAGGACUUCAGGAGAAGAGACUUACAGAUCCAGGGCUGAGCAGCCUAAGUGCUUUAAGCUCUCAAGUGGCCAACCUUCCUAACACAGUCCAGCACAUGUUACUUUCAGAUGCCUUGGCACCUCAGAAAAAAAGUUCCAAAAGGUCAUCGUCGUCUAAAAAAGGUGACAGUUGCACCAACUCAGAAGGCUCCUCCCAAGCAGAGGAGCAGCUUAAGUCUCCCCUGGCAGAGUCCCUCGAUGGCGGCUGCUCUAGCAGUUCAGAGGACCAUGGAGAGAGGGUCAGACAACUGAGUGGCCAGAGCACUAGUUCUGACACUAUCUACAAUCGGGGUAACUUAGAGAGAUCCAACUUGUCACCAGCACAAGGCUCUCAGAAUGAGCCAGCCAAACUCAGUACCAGCCCUACAGUUAGGGAAGAUGUGGGUUCCCCGGGUGAAAAGGAAGUCCUGAUAGCAGUGGAUGCCACCCCAAAAGUGAACGAAAAGACAGUUGGGGUGAUAGUCUCUCGGGAGGCCAUGACAGGCCGAGUAGAAAAAUCAGGCGGGCAGGAUAAAUCCUCACAAGACGAUGCUCCUCCAGCUACCCAAGCGCCUCCUGGUGCCAGUGGAAUAAAAGAAACUGGGCAGGUGUUACCACAGUCAGAGCCUCAAGGAGGGAGCAAAGGGAGUAAGAGUGGGGAAAACAAUACUAACCACAAUGGAGAGGGAAACAGCCAGCCUGGCCAUGCAAUCAUUGGCUCAAGUUUUCCUGGCAGAACAGAACCUUCCAAAUCGCCUGGCAGUUUGAGGUACAGCUAUAAGGACAACCUUGGGGCUGGCAUGCAGAGAAAUAUUGGUGGCUUUCCUCAGUAUCCUUCAGAAAAAGGGGAUUUUCCAGGGCAUAGUGAGCGAAAGGGCAGGAAUGAGAAGUUUCCCAGUCUUCUGCAGGAGGUCUUGCAGGGUUAUCACCACCACCCAGACAGAAGAUAUGCUAGGAAUGCACAAGAACAUCCAGGCAUGGCUGGAAGCCUGGAAGGAGCCAUGAGGCCCAACAUUCUAAUUAGUCAAACCAAUGAAUUAACCAAUAGGAGUCUCCUAAAUAAAAGCAUAGGGUCUCUCCUGGAAAGUCCUCACUGGGGCCCCUGGGAUAGGAAAUCCAGUGGCACAGCUCCGGAGAUAAAACAGAUCAAUCUGGCUGACUAUCCUAUCCCUAGAAAGUUUGAGAUAGAGUCACAGUCUUCAGCCCAUGAAGGGGGAACACUCUCAGAGAGAAGAUCCGUGAUCUGUGACAUAUCUCCAUUAAGGCAGCUUGUCAGAGAUCCUGGGCCUCACCCAAUGGGUCACAUAGGUGCUGAGGCCAGAAGUGGGAGGAGUGACCGUCUCACUCCUGGUUUAGGCCAGUCAGUCAUCCUCCCUGGUGGCCUGGUGUCCAUGGAAACCAAGUUGAAGUCUCAUAGUGGGCAAAUAAAAGAGGAAGAUUUUGAACAGGCCAAGACCUCAGUCAAUCUCAACAGUAAAAAAUCAGGAGACCAUUGUCAUCCUGCCAAUGUUAAGCAUGAGUCUUUCCGAGGCAGUGCCAACCCUGGAGCUGCAGCCCCUGAUUCUACUCCAGACUACGUCUCCCAGCAGGACAGCAGAUCAACACAGCUAAGACGAGCACCUGGAAGAAUGGGAAGCAGCAGAGAGGGCAUGAGGGGUAAAUCACCUUCUCAAUAUCAGGAUCUGGCUGACAAACUGAAGAUGUCACCAGGCAGGAGCAGAGGCCCAGGAACGGACUUCCACCACAUGAAUCCACACAUGACACUGUCUGAGAGGGUCAGCAGGGGUUCUUUGCAUUCUCCCUUCCCUCAGAACUCUGAAGGCUCAUCUUUGGCUUCGGCAUAUCACACAAACACUAGGUCUCAUGCUUUUGGUGACCCUAACCAAAGUUUGAAUUCCCAGUAUCAUUACAAAAGGCAGAUAUACCACCAGCAGCAAGAAGAAUACAAAGAUUGGAGCAGCAGUUCUGCACAGGGUGUGAUUGCUGCAGCUCAGCACAGGCAGGAAGGGGCAAGGAAGAGUCCAAGACAACAGCAGUUCCUUGAGAGAGUAAGGAGUCCCUUGAAAAAUGACAAGGAAGCAAUGAUGUACAUCCAGGCUAGCUCUUACCAUGAUACUGGAAGCCAAGAAGCUGGGCGCUGUCUCAUAGGGAGUGAUGGUACACAAAACAAAUGCACCGAAUUAAAACAUGGUGUCCAGAAGAUGCAGCAACAGGAAUCUGGUUGGGAUCUCUCCCGACAGAUCUCUCCUGCCAAGAACAGUGGGCCUCUAGGAGCAACCAAUCAGAAAAGGUUUUGCUCUCAAGAUAGUGAUGGGCAUAGGCGGGAGGAAUCUGCGGAUUUGCCCAAACCUAGUAAUGCGAUGCUGAGGCUCCCUAGCCAAGAAGACCAGUCUCCUCAAAACCCCUUAAUUAUGAGGAGGAGGGUCCGUUCUUUCAUUUCUCCUAUUCCCAGCAAAAGACAGUCGCAGGAUAUGAAGAACAGUGGCACAGAAGAUAAAGGGCGACUGCUUCUCCCCUCAAAGGAAGGAACUGACAAAGCAUUCAACUCCUAUGCACAUUCAUCUCUAAGCCAAGAUGCUGGCAAGCCACUCCCAAAGGGAGACUCCUCCAAGGAUCUCCAAAGUCCUGACAACAGGAAUUGCCCUGCUGUUUCCCUCACAAGCCCGGCUAAGACCAAAAUAUUGCCGCCACGGAAGGGGCGGGGAUUGAAACUGGAAGCUAUUGUUCAAAAGAUUACAUCCCCCAACAUCAGGAGAAGUGUUUCCUCCAACAGUGCUGAAACUGGUGCAGAUGCAGUCACCCUUGACGACAUCCUGUCCCUCAAAUGUGGACCACCUGAAGGUGGGAGUUUGGUAAGUCAUGGACCAGAGACAGAAAAGAGAAAAGGGGAGACUGUGUCAGAUCCAGUGGGGCAAGUGAGCCAGGAAUUGACUAGUGAAACAUCUCUGCCAAGAUCUUCAGAAGAGUGGCACAGCAGUGGGGAUGACAAAGUCAAGAAGGAGACGCCUGAAGUUGCUAGUGUCAGUAAAGAGGUAUCUGGGGCCAAUGUUGCCACACCACCUUCACAGAAGUCUGGUAGUCAAGGACGAUUAGAUGGAUCCUUAAGUGGAGCUGGAACUCUGAUGUUUCCUGACUCAAAAACAGUUUCUCCUUCCAGUAUGUUGAUUUCUGAACCAAACCCAAAGUCUGAAGAAAAAGAUGGAGAUAUGACAAAUAUUUCACCUAAGCCAGAUGGCUUCCCUCCAAAGGGAUACUUCCCCUCUGGAAAGAAAAAAGGGAGGCCUAUUGGUAGCGUAAACAAGCAGAAGAAGCAGCAGCAGCAGCAGCCGCCACCACCACCACCUCCUCCACCAGUGCCACUACCACCACAGCCAUCAGAAGGGACAAGAGGUGGAGAACCAAAACCUAAGAGACAAAGGAGGGAGAGGAGGAAACCUGCAGCACAACCACGAAAGCGGAAAACUAGACGGGCCACUCCAAUUGUGGAACCUCAAGAACCAGAGAUCAAGCUGAAGUAUGCCACCCAGUCGCUGGAUAAAACUGACACCAAGAACAAGUCCUUUUUCCCGUACAUUCAUGUGGUAAACAAGUGUGAGAUAGGCGCUGUGUGCACAAUCAUCAAUGCAGAGGAAGAAGAGCAGAACAAGUUGGUGAGGGGCCGAAAGGGACAAAGGUCACUGACACCCCCUCCUAGCAACACUGAGAGCAAAGUUCUGCCCACCUCAACUUUCAUGCUGCAGGGCCCCGUGAUAACUGAGUCUUCUGUCUUGGGGCAUCUGGUUUGCUGCCUGUGUGGAAAGUGGGCCAGUUACCGCAACAUGGGAGACCUCUUUGGGCCUUUCUAUCCCCAGGAUUAUGCAGCUACACUGCCCAAAAACCCGCCUCCCAAGAGGGCCUCAGAAAUGCAAAGCAAGGUCAAGGUACGACACAAAAGUGCUUCUAAUGGCUCCAAGACCGAUACAGAAGAGGAAGAAGAACAGCAACAACAGAAAGAACAGAGAAGCCUGGCUGCCCACCCCCGCUUUAAGAGGCGGCAUCGCUCUGAGGAUUGUGGUGGGGCCUCUCGGUCACUUUCAAGGGGAGCUGCUUGUAAGAAAGCAACCACUGAGGGUGGCAGUGGCAGUGAAAAGACUCCUUUGGACUUAAAAGCCCCCAUGCCCACUUCAGAAGGUGGCCCUGAGCUGGAAUUACAAAUUCCUGAACUACCUCUUGACAGCAAUGAAUUUUGGGUCCACGAGGGUUGUAUUCUCUGGGCCAAUGGAAUCUACCUGGUGUGUGGCAGGCUCUAUGGGCUGCAGGAAGCUGUGGAAAUAGCAAGAGAGAUGAAAUGUUCCCACUGCCAAGAGCCAGGAGCCACCUUAGGCUGCUACAACAAAGGUUGCUCCUUCCGAUACCAUUACCCGUGUGCCAUUGAUGCAGAUUGUUUACUAAACGAAGAGAAUUUCUCAGUGAGGUGCCCCAAGCACAAGCCCCUCCUUCCUUGCUCUCUUCCCUCCUUGCAGAACAAGAUGGUGAAAGGCAGUCUCAGCACAGAGCAGUCGGAGCGGGGGUGAGGGGGGAAGUGUGCUCCUGGGAAUGGAAAUAAAAGCAAGCACAGAAGUUCCCCCAGUAAGGAAGCAGUGGAUCCAGGACAUUUGCCCUUGCUUGUGACAAGCCCUCUUAGGUUAGGCUGUUGAGAUAAAAAGCGGUGGACAUUCAUGACUGAAUGAAAUCUCUCCCACUGUGCAGCCAUGCCCCCUCUUGAUGUGCCUGCCAAUGCCAGCACUUCCUUCAUAAAUUCUUACAUCACACUCAAGACUGAUGACAUCACAGAAUAUGACCAAGGAGUCUGAACCAGCUGUUUCCAUGGACACAAACUCCAUAGUGACAAUGGGGAGGGGUGGGAAAAAGAGGAAACAGGUGGGGGGAAUUAAAGAGGGAGGGAUAAAAUAUAUAUAUAUAUAUAAAGAUCUAUUUUUUAGUCUUGGAAGACUUUGUUUUAAAUGAAAGGUGCACUAUCCCUUUUUAUGCAUUUGAUUCAAUAUUAAAAACACAGAUAAAUUCACAAUUUCUUCUAAUUACAGUAAAUGUUAAGUCCAGAAUCCAAAGGAGGCUCCUGAACUAUCCCCCUCUUUGUUGAAAAGGGAGUGGAAUUAUGCAUUCCACUAACCAGAUUUGUCUCCCUCCUCUUCUCCCCCACUUCCGGAAGAAGAGCUCGAGAUUUAAAGAAAAUAAAACAAAAAAUCCUCUUUCAUUACAAAACUAUCUGUGGGGUAGGAAGGGGGAUUGGAUGGCUGCAGGCAAUGAGUUGUUCAUAUGUGUAUGCGUGGGGAGUGAGUUUACAAUAUUUUCUUUUCAAGAAACACUAUUUAUUUUGAUUAACAAUAGAAGCUUGAAAAACAUCUGACUCCUAGGUCAUGCGACUUGUGAAGUAAAAGGUAGCUGCUGCUAGCCAAAUACACACACCCCAUAUAGAUAUGGAUAUGUCCGCACCAAAUGGUGGGUGCGGGGAGGGUGUUUCUGCCAUUCAUGGUAAUGAUGAACACCCCUAAAUCAUUCCAAGAAGCUGCCGUCUCUUUUGAAAGCAGGCUAAAGGAGGAUGUUGGUUUGUCUGCCAGGGUGGGAAGUUGAACAGGAAGUCUGAAUGUUGAUGGAAUCAAUGUGUGUUUAAAUUGUCCAGGAAUGUUCAAUUAACCCUUCUUUAGUGUGUGGGUGGGUUGUUUUGGGGUUUUGUUGUUUUUUUCCAAAGGAAGGGAGAAUGUCAAUUUAAUAGCCUAUACCAUAUGGUUAUUUUUUUGUAAAUUGUGUAAUUUUUAAACAUUUGAGUUUAAAAAGACAAAUAAAUUUUUUCUUGUUAAGGCCUUAAGAAGGGGUUAGUGCAUCUUUCAGGGGUCACUCUGCCAUGGGAAUAAAAUAGCUGUUUCACAAACAGUUUUAUAUAAAAAAAAAGCUUAAAAAACAAAACAAAAAACUAAUAAACUUCAUUUUAACCUUG